GCCCGGGAGGUGUUGAUAGAUGCACGACUGCCUUCCAAGCAGACAGAGCCGGCGCGAUACCGGCCCCGGGCACCA
rnacentral:tRNA from 1 species